rnacentral:rRNA from 1 species
UACGUAGGUGACAAGCGUUGUCCGGAUUUACUGGGCGUAAAGAGCGCGCAGGCGGUCGAUCAAGUCGAGUGUGAAAGCCCCCGGCUCAACUGGGGAGGGUCAUUCGAUACUGAUCGACUCGAAGGCAGGAGAGGGUAGUGGAAUUCCCGGUGUAGUGGUGAAAUGCGUAGAUAUCGGGAGGAACACCAGUGGCGAAGGCGGUUGCCUGGGGCUUUGCUGACGCUGAUGCGCGAAAGCGUGGGGAGCGAUCCGG